rnacentral:piRNA from 1 species
UAACAUUUCUUAACAGGGGUCUUAUAAAUAA